rnacentral:rRNA from 1 species
UACAGAGGUCCCGAGCGUUGUUCGGAUUCACUGGGCGUAAAGGGUGCGUAGGUGGUGAGGUAAGUCGGAUGUGAAAUCUCCGGGCUCAACCCGGAAAUGGCAUUGGAAACUACCUUGCUGGAGGAUUUGAGGGGGGAUUGGAAUACUUGGUGUAGCAGUGAAAUGCGCAGAUAUCAAGUGGAACACCAGUGGCGAAGGCGAAUCCCUGGAAAAUACCUGACACUGAGGCACGAAAGCUAGGGGAGCAAACAGG